CAGCUUCAGCAGCACGUAUGCUAAAAAUUGGAAUGAUACAGACAAUAUUAGCAUGGCCCCUGCACAAGGAUGACACAUAAAUUCAUGAAGCAUUCCAUAAUUUU